rnacentral:tRNA from 1 species
GCGGGAGUAGCUCAGGGGCAGAGCACCAGCUUCCCAAGCUGGGUGUCGCGGGUUCGAUUCCCGUUUCCCGCUCCA